rnacentral:lncRNA from 1 species
AUGUCCCCUGGCCUCUGCUGUGGAACAGGAGGGAGGAGGGGAAGGAAACUCAGUGCAGUGUCCCAGCACCGCUGUGUGAGCUGGGGAAAGGGCUGGCAGUGCUGGGAAUUGUCCCUUUUCUAUCCCUGCCCCAUCCCCGAUGGCCUCCUGCAGCUCAGGGGCUGUCAGUUCACUUUGACACUGAGAAACCUUGGCUUUGUGUCUCCUCCUGAGCAGCUUGGGCAGGUGGAAGGUGUCUAUGCCCAUGGCAGGGGUCAGAACUGGGUGAUCUGUGAGGUGCCUUCCAACCCAAACCAUUCUAUGUUCUAUUACCAUACCACUGUGUGCCCAGAUCUGUACCCAGCUCUGUGCCCAGCUCUGUACCCAGCUCUGUGCCCAGCUCUGUACCCAGCUCUGUGCUCAGCUCUGUACCCAGCUCUGUACCCAGCUCUGUGCCCAGCUCUGUACCCAGCUCUGUGCCCAGCUCUGUGCCCAGCUCUGUACCCAGCUCUGUACCCAGCUCAGCUCUGUACCCAGCUCUCUGUGCUCAGCUCUCCGUGCCCAGCUCUGUACCCAGCUCUGUACCCAGCUCUGUGCCCAGCUCUGUACCCAGCUCUGUACCCAGCUUUCUCUGCUCAGCUCUUUGCUCAGCUCUGUACCCAGCUCUGUGCCCAGCUCAGCUCUGUACCCAGCUCUCUGUGCCCAGCUCUCUGUACCCAGCUCUGUACCCAGCUCAGCUCUGUACCCAGCUCUCCAUGCCCAGCUCUCCAUGCCCAGCUCCGUGCCCAGCUCCGUGCCCAGCUCUCUGUGCCCAGCUCUGCACCCAGCUCAGCUCUGUACCCAGCUCUCCAUGCCCAGCUCUCCAUGCCCAGCUCCGUGCCCAGCUCCAUGCCCAGCCCGGUGACCGCUGCCCUCUCUUGCAGCUCUGUGAGAAGUGCCAGCAGCCGGUGCCCGGGGACUGUCCCGUGGUGUACGCCGACCGUGCCGGUUACUCCCGGCAGUGGCACCCGGCGUGUUUCGUGUGCUGCCGCUGCGCCGAGCCCCUCGUAG